UAGCUAGUUGGUGAGGUAACGGCUCACCAAGGCGACGAUGCGUAGCCGACCUGAGAGGGUGAUCGGCCACACUGGGACUGAGACACGGCCCAGACUCCUACGGGAGGCAGCAGUAGGGAAUCUUCCGCAAUGGACGAAAGUCUGACGGAGCAACGCCGCGUGAGUGAUGAAGGUUUUCGGAUCGUAAAGCUCUGUUGUUAGGGAAGAACAAGUGCCGUUCAAUAGGGCGGCACCUUGACGGUACCUAACCAGAAAGCCACGGCUAACUACGUGCCAGCAGCCGCGGUAAUACGUAGGUGGCAAGCGUUGUCCGGAAUUAUUGGGCGUAAAGGGCUCGCAGGCGGUUUCUUAAGUCUGAUGUGAAAGCCCCCGGCUCAACCGGGGAGGGUCAUUGGAAACUGGGGAACUUGAGUGCAAAGAGGAGAGUGGAAUUCCCGUGUAGCGGUGAAUGCGUAGAGAUGUGGAGGAACACCAGUGGCGAAGCGACUCUCUGGUCUGAACUGACGCUGAGGAGCGAAAGCGUGGGGAGCGAACAGGAUUAGAUACCCUGGUAGUCCACGCCGUNAACGAUGAGUGCUAAGUGUUAGGGGGGUNUNCCGCCCUUAGUGCUGCAGCUAACGCAUUAAGCACUCCGCCCUGGGGAGUACGGUCGCAAGACUGAAACUNCNAAGGAAUUGACGGGGCCCGCACAAGCGGUGGAGCAUGUGGUUUAAUUCGAAAGCACGCGAAGAACCUUACCAGGUCUUGACAUUCCUCUGACAUCCUAGAGAUAGGACGUCCCCCUUCGGGGCAGAAUGACAGGUGGUGCAUGGGUGUCGUCAGCUCGUGUCGUGAGAUGUUGGGUUAAGNUNCCGCACGAGGCGCACCCUUGAUCCUAGUUGCCAGCAUUCAGUUGGGCACUCUUAGGUGACUGCCGGUGACAAACCGGAGGAAGGGUGGGAUGACGUCAAUCAUCAUGCCCUUAUGACUGGGCUACACCGUGCUACAUGGGCAAACAAGGGCACC
rnacentral:rRNA from 1 species